UACCUAAUUUGUUGUCCAUCAU
rnacentral:miRNA from 1 species